rnacentral:lncRNA from 1 species
AUGGCUGCCAAGCAGUGCCAUGUCCGUACCCGGGAUCCGAACCAGCGAACCCCGGGCCGCCGAGAAGCGGAACGUGCGAACUUAACCGCUGCGCCAUCGGGCCGGCCCCAGUUCUCAGCACUUUUGAAGAACGGUUCAGGUUCUGGCUGGAAUGAGUGGGUACAGAGAGCUGGGGCAGCCGGGUGCUUGGGCCAGGCGAGGAUUGGAUCCGGAGUGGCUUCCUCGCUGGUCUCUGAGGUGCUGAAUCGACCCAAGGGAGCCUGGCUUUGCAGUUGGAGGAGAUUGGUUUUGAGAGGAAAUCUGCUCUUGUUACCCAUGACAACUGAGACCAACAUAAAUAAUUCGUAUGAUCAAGUAAGUUCCAGAACCGGUGUACAGGUAGAAGUCCGCACCCAGCCCCAGUUGUCCAGCCCAGCCCUGGAAGCUGCUGACUCUAGAUCAGAGGUACUCAAACCGAGGUGGAGCGUCUCUUUGGCAAUAUUGUGA